UACGAAGGGGGCUAGCGUUGCUCGGAAUUACUGGGCGUAAAGGGCGCGUAGGCGGGUCGUUAAGUUGGGGGUGAAAGCCCAGGGCUCAACCCUGGAAUUGCCUUCAAUACUGGCGACCUAGAGUAUGAGAGAGGUGUGUGGAACUCCGAGUGUAGAGGUGAAAUUCGUAGAUAUUCGGAAGAACACCAGUGGCGAAGGCGACACACUGGCUCAUUACUGACGCUGAGGCGCGAAAGCGUGGGGAGCAAACAGG
rnacentral:rRNA from 1 species